GUCCAUCCUCUCACAAUCUCCACCUUGGGCUUUAUUCUUCACAUUUGGCCCAGCCUAUCACUUGUCUCUCUCUCCUCAAGCACACGACAGUUUCUUUGUCGAUGUGCACUGCUUUACUGAACAGACCAAACUAUCGGAUCAGCUUUCAGACGUCUCCGGUGACUCACCAUUGCCGUCCCUUUCCUCGAAAUAUUGUGUCAGAACUUGAUCAAGGACUUGAUCAAGGACGUUUCUCUGUGGCAAUUACCACUACGACUUGAUCAAAGAGCUUCUUCCUCGAAAUAUUGUGUCAGAACUUGACUGCAAUUCCGGUGAGCUUCUUGGUGUUUCCCUUAGAGCCUCAUCUCGCCGAUCCUCAACACUUCUCAGAAGCUCGAGACGGCACCUUUGAUUGAGACUCUUUUAUCCCCUUUGAUCUCUCGAUCAAAACCAUCUCCAAAUCGCCAAAUUCUCUGUAAUUUCAGACGAGUUCUUGCGAUCAACCAUGUGACUUGCGUUUCCUUAUUGUACUCAGGAACUUCAAGAGAUUCGCGACUCUCCCCCAAGCUUCCUUUCACGUCAAUGAACCGCGUCGACUGCGAUUUCAACGGAAUCUUUUUUUUUUUUUUUUCCCGAUGAGAUUUCCGUUGUCAAUUCUCUCUGGUGUUCCCUGCUACUCUUACACCACCACGCCAAGCUCACAACCCCUUUGAUAUUUUCCUUUGAUAGUGAAACCCUUUCGGAAGUACCUUUGCUUGCCGACCUUUUCCAGCUUCUCCGGCGAGCCUAUUUGUCUGCCUCAUCCGCUAGUUCAGACAGAGUCGUAUCCCUUCAGCUACUUGAUCAAGGUUCAUCACUUUCUUUAGCUGUUUACUACGCCCUCACAUGUUUGUGUUCUCCGAUGUGAUUCAGUUCACUGGAUCUCACCCACCGGCAGGUUCCGUAGCAAUUAGAAAUCGCCUCCACCUUGGACGUUCCUUCCCUCUAGCAACCACAACUUCGAUCCUAUGACUGCAACCCUUUCAGUUAGCUCUGCUUUAUUUUACCAUUCUCCACAGCUCCACCUGAACCUGAUUCCAUUUAAUGUUUCUUCGGUGAUCAAUCGAAGUACUUCUGCUCCCAUGAUGAUUCCUGUUAAAACCAUAAACUUGAACCAUCCUUCUAGCCUCUGCAAUUUUUCAGACUUAUCCGAGACAGUGAAAUCACAGCUUGGAUUUCAACCUCUUUCUUCACACAGUAGCUCCUUAUGGAAUCUAACCGUUGAUUCCUUGUUUAUUUCCAGCUACUCAUGAUGAAAGACCAACCUUCUCUCUUGCUUCCUGCAACUUCAGCUCCUUUGGUGUACCCUUAUAACUCCUUUGCUGGUCCUCGGCCACUCGUCUUCUUUCAGUUUAUCCGGCAAACUGAUUCACCUCCUCCACUGUUUAAGACGUCCGAUUUCCAUGAUGAACUCCACCUGGAACCAGAAUCAACACUCCAGAAUGUCUGAUGCUUCACGGUUACGUUAAAUCUUCACUGCGAGAGCUCAGCCUCGUCCCUUUUUCCAUCCUUUAGGUAAUUCCCUUUACCUUAAACCAAUCAAUCACACAGCCUCCUCCAUGACCUUCAUGAAUCUGUUGUUGAUCGAACUCAUCCUCCCUUUGCAUCUUGAUUUCCUUUAAUCAAAUGCAAUUACUUUUCUAAAUCAUACAUGUUUCACCCAAUGAAACAAUCUCUGAUUCAAAAAAUUCUUUUUUUUGUUUAAACCCCACAGCUUUGAAUCCCUCUUUAUACCGCCGUUAACGGAACACGCCAUCAAGCUACCACAUUUGCUAGAUAGACUUUCGACAAAAACUUUGAUCCAGCUUUCUUCUUAAACAGAAUCUUAGUAACAACAUUACACCUUGUUGCCAGAUUUCUUCUGUAUAAGAUCUGCCUUGAACUCCUCUGUGUACCGCUGUUAUCACUUAACAGAACCAGCCAUCAAGCCAUCAUCCUUGCUAGAUAGACUUUCGACACACCCCUAGUCCAAGCAUCUCUUCUACAUAACUUAACACACCCUUUGUGUUCUUCUUUACCUCUUGUAACUCUGAUCCUUAUCCCUGACACUUAACCCUCCUUGAAAACUUUAUCAGACCUGAUUUUAUAUGAACUUCUCAGAAGCUCCCUGCCUGCUUUGCCUCAAGCAGACUCCAUAUUUCACCUCCAUACUCUUCUGCUAUAACCUUUCUCUUGAAUCUCAGAUUUUUAACAUACUGUCGAAAAACUUUUCUACACAUCCCUUUCCUAAGGCGUCCCCUAGACAUGGAUCUGUAAGUCCAGUUGCUUUAUCAACCCAUCCUUGAACACCAAAUUGAAUAAACUUUUAACAACUAGAGCAAGCCAAGAUACAACCUGAUUUCACAGCAAAAAAUCUUGACUUCUCUAUUGUUAAAAUCUAUUCUACUUCCAUGUGCUCUCCCAAAAUCUUGAUUCCAUAAAUGUAGCAGCCUUGAGUAUCCAGAAACUUCAAACAUCACAAUAACCAUGUGAUUGCAGCGGAAAUAAGUCUUCAAGUCUUCAGCAUCCCCGUACUUCAUUAAACAUCAUGUUUCCCUUUGAUCUUUCAAUUCCAACCCUUCAAUGUGUCGACUCCAUAAUCUCACUAACCCCGCAAUCAAAACCUGGAUUGCUCUGAUACCACUUGUUAGGAAUUAUCGAUCGUUUGAUUGCUUAACUAAACGACACAAGAUUUUUAACCCAGUUCCCUUGCGGUACCUCUGGGGUGGGAACCGUCUCCCACAACAUCCACUAUCAAUCAAAGGGGUUUACACAAACGCUCUAAGCGCUCUUCUCGUAUAAACAUGACAUUAACAAAGAAUAAGAAGAUCAAAGAAACUCUAUCCUUUAGAGACAUGACUCGAACAAUAUCUCUUAGUUUCUUCUACUCUUGAUCUCUCUCUCUUAACUUCUCUUUGUCCUUGUGUUUAGGUUUUCUCGGAUGAUUCCUUAGGUCACAUCUUCUUCCUCUUAUAUAUACGUCCCAGUAUAUAUGCAUGUUUCCUUUUUACGUAACGAGAACAAAUACGUCACCGACUUGGGUGGAUUUUUCUUUUGACUGAUAUGGAUCAGAGAAUCAGGCUUAAUUCUCAAGCCCAUAUUUAUGUGAAGAUAAGUCCAUCCUCUCACAGAGAAGAUUAAUACUGGAACGAGUAAAAACAGAGGAUGAUUUUCCUAUAGGAUCAAAAUUUCAUAAACCUCUUACUUCAUCAGAGCCUCCAAGGUGUGAAGUAUCUACCAUUUUCAUGUAAGUCUUCACUGCAUCCCUAGAAGUUAUCUAUAUAUAACACACAUAUU